GCUUACGUGGUCCAAUGGUUAGGAUUCCACCCUUCCAUCUCAACGUGAGAGAGAGAGGUGGAGGUUCGCGUUCGAUUCGCGGCGUUUGCA